UGCUCAAGACACAUCUACUAUUGCGAAUUCAAAGCAAGUAGCUGCUGAUACUGUUCAUGUACAUGCUGUAGCCAGUGAAAAAAGUGUUCAUAGUAAAGCAGAGCCUGAUGAUUGGGAAGAUGCUGCUGACAUGUCAACACCAAAAUUAGAACCUUUAGAUGAAGAUGGAAAUGGAAAUCUGGGGAAGAAGUAUUCAAGAGAUUUUCUCCUGAAGUUUGCUGAACAAUGUACUGAUCUUCCAGAGGGUUUUGAGAUAGCAGCUGAUAUAGCAGAGGCUUUGAUGAGUGGUAAUAUCAAUAUUUCUCAUCUUGUUGAUCGUGAUUCGUAUCCUAGUCCUGGAAGAGCAACGGAUAGGCAAUCGGGGGGGCCUCGAGUUGAUCGUCGUGGAAGCGUAAUGGUUGAUGAUGAUAGAUGGGGUAGACUACCUGGUCCAAGUUUGGGGAGGGAUUUGCGUCUGGAUGUUGGUUAUGGUGCUAAUGCAGGAUUCCGUCCUGGCCAAGGUGGUAACUAUGGCGUUUUGAGAAAUCCCCGACCACAAAUACCUAUGCAGUAUCCUGGAGGUAUCCUACCUGGGCCUAUGCAGCCCAUGGGUUCUCAGGGAGGGAUGCAAAGAAAUAGUCCUGAUGCUGACAGGUGGCAACGCAUUGCUAAUUUCCAACAGAAGGGUUUAAUUCCUUCUCCUCAGACUCCUUUGCAGAUGAUGCACAAAGCUGAUAGAAAAUAUGAAGUCGGUAAAGUGCAAGAUGGGGAAGAGGCCAAGCAGAGGCAGCUGAAAGCUAUUUUGAACAAGCUAACUCCUCAAAACUUCGAGAAACUCUUUGAGCAAGUAAAAGCAGUAAACAUCGACAAUGCUGUUACACUCACUGGUGUGAUCUCUCAAAUUUUUGACAAAGCUUUAAUGGAGCCUACUUUCUGUGAGAUGUAUGCAAACUUCUGUUAUUUUCUUGCUGGAGAGCUACCUGAUUUCAGUGAAGACAAUGAAAAAAUUACUUUCAAGAGACUGCUUCUGAACAAAUGCCAAGAGGAAUUUGAGAGAGGAGAGAGAGAGCAAGAAGAAGCUAACAAAGCUGAUAAAGAGGGGGAGAUUAAGCAGACCGAGGAAGAAAGAGAAGAGAAGAGAAUCAAGGCUCGAAGACGAUGGCUAGGCAACAUUAGACUAAUUGGUGAGUUGUACAAGAAGAAAAUGUUGACUGAGAGAAUAAUGCACUGCUGUACGGCCAAGGCGGAUGUACGGUACAGCAGCUAAUAAAUAGAGAAAUUUUCUUUUAAAUUUGACCUUGGCUGACUGUUUCAAGCAAGAUAUUAUCCCUUCUGAGAUUGCUUCUCAAUCUGCUACUUCGAAAUCUAUAGAACUUGUCAGCCAAACUGAUCAGGAAUCUGUAUUAAAGGCAACAGCUGUUUGCAAUGAGGUUCCAAUAUUGGGAACCACGGAGGAAGUGUUGGGUGAAUCUGCAAGAGCUUCUACUGAAGCUCACAGGGUUGCCGACGAUAUGGAUGCAUCUAGCUCCGGAAUUGCAGAUUCAACAAAUGUUGAAUGUUCACAUGGUAAUAAGACUUCGACUGUGGAUGCCUUGUCAAGCAAAAGUGUAAUACAGCAGCAUCCUGCUCCUGUUUCAGCUACUGAAUUUCUGGAAACAAUCCCAAAAACUGAAGGGGAGGUUCUGGAUAAUAGUGGUGCUGGCUCAGUCUUACUUCCAGUAUCGGGUUCCAAGGAUAUGCCUGUAGUAGAAUUAAAUAGAUCAAAGAGCUCUAUUACUAGAGGAAAGAAGAAGAGAAGAGAAAUCCUUCUGAAAGCUGAUGCUGCCGGGACAACUUCAGAUCUUUACAUGGCUUAUAAGGGUCCUGAGGAGAAGGAGGCUGCCAUGCCUUUAGAAAGUGCUCAAGACACAUCUACUAUUGCGAAUUCAAAGCAAGUAGCUGCUGAUACUGUUCAUGUACAUGCUGUAGCCAGUGAAAAAAGUGUUCAUAGUAAAGCAGAGCCUGAUGAUUGGGAAGAUGCUGCUGACAUGUCAACACCAAAAUUAGAACCUUUAGAUGAAGAUGGAAAUGGAAAUCUGGGGAAGAAGUAUUCAAGAGAUUUUCUCCUGAAGUUUGCUGAACAAUGUACUGAUCUUCCAGAGGGUUUUGAGAUAGCAGCUGAUAUAGCAGAGGCUUUGAUGAGUGGUAAUAUCAAUAUU
rnacentral:lncRNA from 1 species